rnacentral:sRNA from 2 species
CGCCCGUCAAACUAUGAGAGCUGGUAAUACCUAAAACCGUUAAGAUAACCUCGUGAGUCUUGCGUCUAGGGUAGGACUGGUGAUUGGAGUUAAGUCGUAACAAGGUACCCCUACGGGAAUGUGGGGGUGGAUCACCUCCUUUCUAACGGAGUUAAUUUUAGAUAAUUAACAAAUAUUAGAAUAUUUUAAAUAUUUGUGUACUUUUUAUAGAAAUCCAAAAAAUAAAUAAACCUAAAUAAAAAAUUAUUUUUUGGUCGGAUUCUAUUUAGUUUUGAGAGAUAUUUUCUCUCAUGAUAGUUCUUUGAAAACUGAAUAUUAUACAAUCUUUUUAGUCUAAUCAUAUUUAAUAAUAGAAUAAGGAUACAAAAUAAGUUACUAAGGGCUUAUGGUGGAUGCCUUGGGACUGGAAGGCGAUGAAGGACGUGCUAAUCUGCGAUAAGCUACGGGUAGUUGAUAAGGUGCAUUAAUCCGUAGAUGUCCGAAUGGGGAAACCUGGUUAACAGUAAUGUUAAUCAUCUUUGACUGAAUAAAUAGGUCAUUGAAGCGAUACCUAGUGAAGUGAAACAUCUCAGUAACUAGAGGAAAAGAAAACGAAGUGAUUCCGUAAGUAGUGGCGAGCGAAAGCGGAGGAGGCCAAACCGAAUUAAUUUUCGGGGUUAUAGGACUGCAAUAUGGACUUAUGGUAGAUAGUAGAACAAGUUGGGAAGCUUGAUCAUAGAAGGUGAUAAUCCUGUAUACGAAAUCUAUCAUAUACCUAGCAGUAUCCUGAGUACGGCGAGACACGUGGAAUCUUGUCGGAAUUUGCCCAGACCAUUGGGUAAGCCUAAAUACUAAUCAGUCACCGAUAGCGUAUA